rnacentral:rRNA from 1 species
UACGUAGGCAGCGAGCGUUGUUCGGAUUUACUGGGCGUAAAGGGUGUGUAGGCGGUUGUUUAAGUUUGGUGUGAAAUCUCCCGGCUCAACUGGGAGGGUGCGCCGAAUACUGAAUGACUUCGAGUGCGGGAGAGGAGAGUGGAAUUCCUGGUGUAGCGGUGAAAUGCGUAGAUAUCAGGAGGAACACCGGUGGUGUAGACGGCUCUCUGGACCGUAACUGACGCUGAGACACGAAAGCGUGGGUAGCAAACAGG